rnacentral:snRNA from 1 species
GUGUUCACUUUGGCAGCACAUAUACUUAAAUUGGAAUGAUACAGAGAAUAUUAGCAUGGCCCCUGCACAAGGAUGACACGCAAAUUCAUGAAGUGUUCUGUAUUUAA